rnacentral:lncRNA from 1 species
GACAGGAUAAAGAGACUCGCCUCCACCACAUUUCCCAGAAGGAACAGCCUGCUGCCCUUUGUCACCUGACCAGUCAGAGAAAAAUGAUUGGUCAGGUGAUGAUUUAAAGCCAGGAUGCAGCCAGCAGGUCUAAAGCAAUGGAUUGCAAAAGGGUGUGAAGGAGCUGAGUGAGCAGCAAGCAAACAUUCUGUAAUACACUGGAUGAUGAUGUGGAAAAUGGUUGGAUUUGAUUGGCUGUUCUACUGGCCUUGCGAUGGACCAGUAUUCAAUUCAUGGGAUGAGCAGCUCCACAAUCUCAAUCCAGAUUUCCACCCUAGACGUCUGGAGACACUUAUUAGGAUAAAAGCCUUUUCUGAUGAUGGGUGGAAUCCCACUGCUUAA